rnacentral:rRNA from 1 species
GAUGAACGCUAGCGGGAGGCUUAACACAUGCAAGUCGAGGGGCAGCAUAGGGUAGCAAUACUCUGAUGGCGACCGGCAAACGGGUGAGUAACGCGUAUGCAACCUACCCUGUACAGGGGGAUAACCCGGAGAAAUUCGGACUAAUAUCCCGUAAUAAUAUCCGGAGGCAUCUUUGGAUAUUUAAAGUUCCGACGGUACGGGAUGGGCAUGCGUAACAUUAGCUGGUUGGUAAGGUAACGGCUUACCAAGGCUAUGAUGUUUAGGGGUCCUGAGAGGGUGGUCCCCCACACUGGUACUGAGACACGGACCAGACUCCUACGGGAGGCAGCAGUGAGGAAUAUUGGUCAAUGGGCGCAAGCCUGAACUAGCCAUCCCGCGUGCAGGAAGACGGCCCUAUGGGUUGUAAACUGCUUUUCCAGGGAGAGAAACUUACGCACGUGUUGCGUGACUGACGGUACCCUGGGAAUAAGCAUCGGCUAACUCCGUG